AAUGGGCAUGUGAUGAAUCUAAAUUUGUGUAAAUGGGUAAUUUGCAUCUGAAUAAUUCAUUGAUGUUAAUAUCACCUUGGAGAACUGAUGCCUAUG